rnacentral:lncRNA from 1 species
GGUGUGUAAUGGGUGCUCCAACUUCGGGGCAAAUGGGCGCACGAUUUGUUAGCAAGGCUCCGCACUGGAGGGCCAGGCGUAGAGCGAACCCCUUCGAUCUCAAUCGGCAGCUCACAGCACGUCAUUAUAACAAAAUUCUUGUGCUGUCACACAAAAUUAGGGGAUGGGGGUGAAGUGAAACUUGGUGGUGUCAAGACUUUUUGCAAUGGGUUGAGAGGACAGGGAAGCGCAUUUUAACUCCAUUGCAAAAAGGACACUCAUCACAUCUGUAUACAUAGUCCACCAUCGUCUCCAAUCGUUGGAACACACACCGCAGUAAUAAAGUCCUCAGAGUCAAGUUAAUGAUGGUAAGUGCAUCAGAGAGGGUAAGUGUUAUGUUGAGGUGAAAAGGGUGGUGUUGAUAUGAUCAAUACUUUCAAAACAUGGGUAAUGGUGGAUGAAGAAUUUAGGGCAGAGUCACAGAAAAAAAAAAAAAGAAUAGUGGCUGACCUAUUAUUUGUUGUCGCAACACAACACAGUCCCGCCACUGUUUGAAGUUGUUACUGAAAGCCAAACAAUCUUGUGGCAAAGAAGGUCAUAAAGAAAAAAGGGUCCGUAUAUAUUCUCCGCCUCUGCCUCCGCUUCGCUUCCUCCGCCUUCCCGCUUCCGUCCUAAAUAAAAUCCAUCAGCGGCCUAAUGCUUACGACCCGGCAGGAGCGUCCUCCGAUAUGUCCACUGGCUCACUGAUACGGCUCAUCUCAGCUCUUCUCGCUCUUCUCUCUCUCAGAACCACAUCCGAUUUGAUUUUGACAGGAACGGGAGAGGCGGGGAAGACCAGAGGCCGCCGUUGGGGGUGAAUCGAAGUAAGAAACAGCUCUGUUUGGUUGAGUUUUUAACAGAUAGUCUUUAUUUCCCAAACCCCCUGACACUGACUUCCACCGCAAUUUGAAAAUACAAUUUUUUGACUUUCGAUUUAACUAUUAAAUUCCCCUCCUCAAACUUCAACUGCCAUUUACUCCUUGAUAAAAAAAAAAUUUUUAUACCACUUUUCGAUUAUUUAAUAUUUAAAAAAAAGUUAAAUAAAAUUUUUUAAUUCUUUUUUUUACUUUUACUUUCUGAAUUUUUAUAUAAAAAAUCUUAUGAUCAAAAAUUUUAUAAUUUAUUUUACUCCCAUUUCCAGGUUUUUAAAAAAGAAAAAAUAUAGAUCAAAAUUUUUAAUUUUUUUUAAAAUUUCUCUCAAUUUAUAAAAUUUAAUACAAAACUAAUUAAUAUAAUUUUUUUUGAAAACACUAAAACAAAAAAUAGUUAUAACUCGUAUUCGCGGCAAUCAAAUGCCCUUCAUUCCCUGUACCCACCCACCCCAGUGAGUAACAGAGGAAAAGGGAAAAUAGAUAAGUAGGGAUGGAUUGAGAGUUAUAGGUGAAGACAAUGAAUUUUUUAUCAGAAAAAUAAUGGGUGGAGGGACCAGGUGCCACGAGGAGGUUUGGGGAGCUAUUAAUUAGAAAUUUGAGAAAUUAUGGUUCUUAUGUAAUGUUGAAUUUAUUACUGUAUUGAUAUAUUAAAAGUCAUUAUUUUUUCUUAGUGUUUUUUAUGACAAAUCAAUUAUUAAAAAAUAAAUGAUUAAUUUCAGGAUAACUCAAUAACAAAUCUGAAUUUUUUGAUUCAGUGUUUUUUUAAAAAAAAUAUGGUUUAAAAAUUGCAUUAGAGGAAAUUUAUAAAUGAGAGGAAAGUUAAAAAAAUAUUAAAAAAUUUUGAUCUAUAUUUUUUUUUAAAAAAAACUAGAGGUGAGGAGUAAAAGAAAUUAUAAAAAUUUAUCAUAAAUUUUUUUUUAUAAAAAAUGGAAGGUUGAAAGUUAAAAAAUUUAAAAAUUUUUUGAUAAUUUUUUUUAAUAAAUACCUGGGAGGUGGUAUUAAAAAAAAAAAUCAGAAGGUAAAAGUAAAAAGAAAUUAAAAAAUUUUGAUCAAAUUUUUUUUAAUAAAUAACCGGGAGGUGGUAUUAAAAGAAUUUUUCUUAAUCAAGAAUUAGGGAUAAAAUUGAAGAGUUAAAAAAUUUUAAUUUUCUUGUCAAAGGGGUGUGAGGGUGUCGGGGAAUAAAGUUUUUCUUUAAUAAAGUUUAAUUACAUUUUGUCCCAUUAACCAUUGACAAGUGUUACUUAUCCUCUCCAAACUUAAAAUUCAAUCAACUUGCCCUUUAAAUUAGGGAUAACUUCAUUCACACCCCCUGAAGAUUUUUCAUAAUUACAAUGACCUCCCCUGUAGUUUUAAAAAUGCACUGAACCUCCCCUGUAAGAACAAAAAAUGACAUUAUGCCCCAGCCCCCCCACCCCCACCCCAUCCCCGCCGAUUUUUUUAGUUUUUUUAGUUUUUCUUUUAAGUAUUUUGUUAUUUACUUUUUAAAUCUAAUAUGUUUUAUCCGUUUUUUUUGGAUAAAAUUUUUUUUUAUAUGUUUGUGUUUUUUAAAUUUUUUUUUCAUUAAUAAUUUUAAUAAACAAAUAAAUAAAUAUAAAAAGUAAAAAAGAGAC